AUUUGGCAGAUAAUACCAGAGAUCCAGAACCAGACUAUCUGGAUCUAAAUCCAGAUUUAAACACGAACAAUGUUCCUCGUGCAUUCUUAACAGCUGGUUUUCCUAAGAAUCGAAUUCCAGGAUAUGAUAGGGGAAAUGAUGAGAACGAUUAUAUUCCAGAG